GCGGGGAUAGCUCAGCUGGGAGAGCGUCAGACUGAAGUCAACAACUUCGGUUCUACUGGUUCAACAACCAAGUCAUCUGAAGGUCGGGUGUUCGAUCCACCCUCACCGCA
rfam:Microdochium bolleyi strain J235TASD1 unplaced genomic scaffold Micbo1qcscaffold_5, whole genome shotgun sequence.